AUUGAACGCUGGCGGCAUGCCUUACACAUGCAAGUCGAACGGUAACAGGUCUUCGGAUGCUGACGAGUGGCGAACGGGUGAGUAAUACAUCGGAACGUGCCUAGUAGUGGGGGAUAACUACUCGAAAGAGUGGCUAAUACCGCAUGAGAUCUACGGAUGAAAGCAGGGGAUCGCAAGACCUUGUGCUACUAGAGCGGCCGAUGGCAGAUUAGGUAGUUGGUGGGAUAAAAGCUUACCAAGCCGACGAUCUGUAGCUGGGCUGAGAGGACGAUCAGCCACACUGGGACUGAGACACGGCCCAGACUCCGACGGGAGGCAGCAGUGGGGAAUUUUGGACAUUGGGCGCCAGCCUGAUCCAGCAAUGCCGCGUGCAGGAUGAAGGCCUUCGGGUUGUAAACUGCUUUUGUACGGAACGAAAAGCCCCGGGUUAAUACCCUGGGGUCAUGACGGUACCGUAAGAAUAAGCACCGGCUAACUACGUGCCAGCAGCCGCCGUAA
rnacentral:rRNA from 1 species